rnacentral:rRNA from 1 species
UACGUAGGGUGCGAGCGUUAAUCGGAAUUACUGGGCGUAAAGCGUGCGCAGGCGGUUUUGUAAGCCAGAUGUGAAAUCCCCGGGCUUAACCUGGGAAUGGCAUUUGGGACUGCAAGGCUGGAGUGCGGCAGAGGAGACUGGAAUUCCUGGUGUAGCAGUGAAAUGCGCAGAUAUCAGGAGGAACACCGGUGGCGAAGGCGGGUCUCUGGGCCGUAACUGACGCUGAGGAGCGAAAGCGUGGGGAGCGAACAGG